CAAAUAUCUCCAAAAUGCUCCAAAAUCAUCACUUAUCUCCAAAACAUUUCUGAUCUUACAAAUAUAAUAAAUAGACUCUAUAAUAAUAUAAUUAUUAGUAAAAACACGUAUAAACUAUGGAUGAAAAUGGGUCAUAUCCAUAGUCUAUCAACUCUCUCAGACUUACUCUUUUGCUUGUCCUCAAGCAAAACAAACAUGCAGUCUUUCUGAAAGAGGUUUUUAAAAACAGCAGGGACUCACAUGAUUUAAAACUUAGAAUUAUCACCUCUACAAUAUUGCAAUCCACAUCUAAGAAGUCCUAAUCACAAAAAUACAUCAUACCAUAUCCUAGCUUAGCAACCAAAUUCAUCUAGCCAACACUUAGCAUAAUCUUGUCUUUCAUUCCCCUCUACCAACC
rnacentral:lncRNA from 1 species